rnacentral:lncRNA from 1 species
AGAAGAAAAAAAAGACACACAAGAGUCUGAGAGUAAAUAGAAGAAACUUGAUAGAAAAGUUCUAGACCGGAAUUAGGUAUGGUUACGAGACUAAGGUCGUACUGUUGUGCAUGGCUAAUGGGAUUAAUUUGUUGAAGGGUCGGCCUCCACAAGGCGAGAACGAGAUGAGUUCGUAGGGAUGAGAUUGAUUUCGGAUUUUAGAUUUGGAUUGGGGAUCUCUUCAGUUUCCUAGACAAGUUAGGUAGCUACUAGUCAACUAGUUCACUCAAGUGUUGUGAUCUUAGUGUACUGACUAAGUGGGAAGAGGCGAUCCUAAUGAGCUGCAUCGUACAUGGUACCUACCUAGUACCUACUCUCCUGCGUAUGUACAGAGUCUAAGAGCAUGCACAGUACAACAAUAAGUUGUAACUGCUCUGUAGUAGUAACUACGCCUGUAGUACCCACAGUGGAACGCCCCCUCUCGUCUGAGUCGAGCAGCAGACAGGACAGAUGGCGUUCUCCAUUGGUGAUCCAUAUAAACCAUGAUCCAUGCUCAAUCCUCUGUUGUUAGUUUGAACUUUCUUUGCCAUGUAUGUACUUCGUUUAACCAUCAUGGCUCUACAUGUAGGAGGAAAUAAGUAGCUACAUAACUGCCACCCUCAGUCUCAUGUUAUUCAUGCGAUGAUAACCUCAGACGAGCGCGUUCCAGGUUGCAUUGAGUUUUGAUUUGGCCCAGAUCUGAUACAGCUUGCUUGGUCCUAGCCAGUGUACACUUACAAAUCUUCUGCUAUCCCUGAAGACGAGACUCUCACUCAGGUCCUUGGAAAUUGGCAGAAUGGAAUGAGGCAACGGAUAGAUUUUGAACCCCGCCAGAAAGGUCUAGUCAUGCUGUAGCACGGCGCACUAGGGCGAUGGAGCUGGUGGAUCAUGAUGUCGAUACGAUUUGCAAAUUACUGCAUAGUAACUUAACUAGCAUGGCUUGAGUUACUAUGUUCCAGCCGUAGGUCGAACACCAGUCACGCCACGUUUGAGGUUGACGCUAGCCGACCUUAUGCUCCUCCGGACUCCAUAAAUAAUACUAGUUGAGAUACAAACGGAGUUCUCCGGAGAAAUACCCUCCUUACGACGUCCAGAAAAGCUGCCAUCUUGACGAACUCCAAAAUAAGAUCUGACAGGUACCAAUAUCCCGGACACCUAUCACACCCUCAUGCCUGAAUCAGGUCUCGGACCGUGAGUUGGCAUAAACUGUACGUAGCAACAAGCGGCAUAAAUUAAAGGACCGAACCCAUGGGUUGACUGUUUGAAGAGGAAAUGAGGAAUUUAAAUUACAGGGUUGCACAUUUCGACCAAGCAGUCGAACAUGUUCUUUUCAGAUUCUCCAGUUCCAGUUCCAGGUUCUUGUUCCCGUUGAACCGGACUUAUACUCUGUAUCUCUCUGUAACUAAGUUAACUAACUAGUUAAUCGUUUAACUUGGUUAUUUGAUUAGUUAGAUAGUUGGCCAAGGAGUUAGGCAAGUAAGUUAACUACGUAGUAACUAACUAAGUACUCACUAGCAGCCUGGUAAGCGAGCCAGAUCGCCCAUCGGAAAACAAUUGAGCCGUUAGACCUAAGUUACUACGUACUAUAUUAUACUACGUAUGUACUACGGAGGAGCAAGAACUGCGACAGAGUUCAACGGUCAGUAGCGGCUGGACCCUUGUGAGACGCGCUGCUGCAGUCAAUCAAAUCUCAGUCUGUUUCUGGCUGAAGGAUCAGGCCAGGCAUCGUGCAUGCAUUUGCCUAGUUACGUCUACUGCUGCGAGAAGUUUGUCCCUCACAAGCUAAGCAGCCCACCGU